rnacentral:rRNA from 1 species
AAUGCGAUAAGUAAUGUGAAUUGCAGAAUUCAGUGAAUCAUCGAAUCUUUGAACGCACAUUGCGCCCGCCAGUAUUCUGGCGGGCAUGCCUGUCCGAGCGUCAUUUCAACCCUCGAACCCCUCCGGGGGGUCGGCGUUGGGGAUCGGCCUUCCUUCACGGGG